UGAGGAAUAUUGCGCAAUGGAGGAAAGUCUGACGCAGCCAUGCCGCGUGCAGGAUGACGGCCCUAUGGGUGGUAAACUGCUUUUAUAUAGGAAGAAAACGCGGUACGUGUAGCGGAUUGACGGUACUAUACGAAUAAGGACCGGCUAACUCCGUGCCAGCAGCCGCGGUAAUACGGAGGGUCCGGGCGUUAUCCGGAUUUAUUGGGUUUAAAGGGUCCGUAGGCGGAAUUUUAAGUCAGUGGUGAAAGCCUACAGCUCAACUGUAGAACUGCCAUUGAUACUGAUAUUCUUGAGUGUGGUUGAAGUGGGCGGAAUAUGUCAUGUAGCGGUGAAAUGCAUAGAUAUGACAUAGAACACCAAUUGCGAAGGCAGCUCACUAAGCCAUAACUGACGCUGAGGGACGAAAGCGUGGGUAGCGAACAGGAUUAGAUACCCUGGUAGUCCACGCCGUAAACGAUGAUCACUCGUUGUUGGCGAUAUACAGUCAGCGACCAAGCGAAAGUGUUAAGUGAUCCACCUGGGAAGUACGCUCGCAAGAAUG
rnacentral:rRNA from 1 species